UACGAAGGGGGCUAGCGUUGCUCGGAAUCACUGGGCGUAAAGCGCACGUAGGCGGAUUGCUAAGUCAGGGGUGAAAUCCUGGAGCUCAACUCCAGAACUGCCCUUGAUACUGGCGGUCUCGAGUCCGGGAGAGGUGAGUGGAACUGCGAGUGUAGAGGUGAAAUCGUAGAUAUUCGCAAGAACACCAGUGGCGAAGGCGGCUCACUGGCCCGAUACUGACGCUGAGGCACGGAAAGCGUGG
rnacentral:rRNA from 1 species